rnacentral:snRNA from 1 species
GUGCUCACUUCAGCAGCACAUAUACUCAAAUUGGAACGAUACAAAGAAGAUUAGCAUGGCCCCUGAGCAAGGAUGACAUGCAAAUUCGUGAAGCGUUCUGUAUUUUU